AUGAUGAGCAUGAAAAAAAAAAUGUUUGAAAAAGAGAAUGAGGAUUUCAAAGAAGAGGUUUUUAAACUGCACAAUGAGAUUUCGCGUCUCGAAAAUGCUCUGAAACACUCUGAAAAAAGAAACUAUUUAUUAGAUAAGCAAGUUCAAAGAAUGCGGUCAAAAAUGGACACAGAUGAGCAACUGUUCAAAAGGUUUGGCAAUGCUCAGGAAUCCCACUUAAGUUUGAAGUCUCAUUAUGUUGGAAAGAAAGGGCCAGUCAUCUGUUCCUGUACUGAACGUUUCUUCUUAGUUCAUUUGCAAAGUCGAAAGCGUAUUUUUAAUGGUACGACCUCAGUCAGUGGAUUUGAGCAUCAGCAUAGGAACUCUUUUCUGUUUCUGUAUGCCUCUCACGUGAUUUGGAAGUGCUACAUUUGUGUUAAUUUGGAUCAUGCCCCUUCCUGCCAAACUGUCUCCAGUACAGCUACCUGUAUAGGUAACCCUUCACAGUCACUGCAGUCUGUCAGGUGGGACUUGGAGUCUGGAUCUUCCUCCUGUGCCCAGGCAGCCAAGCUGUGCACUACCUGUGUUCUCUCUAAUUUCUCUCAAAGCAUCAUAAGGGAUGACAAGGACUGAGUUUUUCGUAAGGACUGGAACAAUUUCCCAGGGUUCUGAUCUCUGAACUUGAGGACCUUCAAACCUGUAGCUCCAUAUACCAAUGAUUUAAUUGCUAGUUUACACUGUGUUCUGGUGGGAAAAUACUCUCUUUAAAGCUGGAUACAGGGAGAGCAAGCAUAGAAGAGCCAUAAUUUCUAGGCUGCAUGUUAGGAUGCUCAGCAUAGAGGAAGGGACGUUUCUAUAGUUUGUUCUCAUUCUUCAGAUUUUUGCUGAGUAUUUUUGCUUGGAUUUAGGGGUGGGUGGGGGAGGCAUGUUUUGUAUAUUGUUUUCUUGAAAUUCAUAGUCUAAUGUAAAAUGCAUAAAUGAACUAGCAAGUCAAAACACAAGGUUGUCCCUUUCUCAUGCAGUCACAGCUUUGGUAUGUCAUCAAGCUCAUGC
rnacentral:lncRNA from 1 species